ACUUAUGUACUUAUAUGUGUUUCCAGCAAGAGAAGAUCUAAGAAUGUAAAUGUCUUUUUCAGGACUUUUCAUUUUAGGGGAUACUUCCCUGGAGACCUCAUGAAGCAUAAUGCAGUGGGUGCAGUGUGAUCUGGGUGCUGCCCAAUCCCCUUCCUAAACUUUGGAAAAUCAUGACCCUAUGAAUGAAGACCUUACUAGAAAAACAUAACACAAGAGCCAGGAACAUGGUGUCCUGUGUUAUGUGCUCUAUCUCUUCCAAAUGAAAAGUGAUCUGCUGUCUAAAGUCACAUUCCCCAUUGGCAUGGAGAAGCUGUAGGUGGGCUAAUUAGAAAUGG